UACGGAGGGAGCGAGCGUUGUCCGAAGUUACUGGGCGUAAAGAGCGUGUAGGCGGCUUGGUAAGUCCGCUGUGAAAGUCCAGGGCUCAACCCUGGAAUGCCGGUGGAAACUGUCAAGCUUGAGUCCGGAAGAGGCGAGUGGAAUUCCUGGUGUAGCGGUGAAAUGCGCAGAUAUCAGGAGGAACACCAAUGGCGAAGGCAGCUCGCUGGGACGGUACUGAGGCUGAGACGCGAAAGCGUGGGGAGCAAACAGG
rnacentral:rRNA from 1 species